rnacentral:rRNA from 1 species
AUGGAGAUUUUUAAGAAUGUCACUGAAUUUAAUUGUUAUCCUAAUGUCUCAGAGAAUUUCUCUGUUGUUUAUUGCAUCUUAUUAACGGUGGCAUCAGUUGAACGAUGAAGCUUUUCAAAGUUAAAAUUAUCGAGGAACUAUUUGAGGUCAAGAAUGACUAAUGAGAAUUUAAAUGGCUUGGCAUGUAUAUGCACCAAGAAGAAAUCAUUGGAAGAGAUUGACAUGAACCACAUCACAAGUGACUUUGCAUGGAAAAAUCAUACAAGUUUUUAA